GCCCUGUGAAUUCUUACCACGUGGUAGGUGUGCUGAAAUAACAUGAGAUAAACAUGCAAAGCAAUACACUUAUUUGAUCUCUUAUUAUAGAGUGGGCGUCUAGAGUUAUCCUGAGAUUCAAAGCUAUUUCUCAGCAUAUGCACACAGUGAUUAAACUAUUCUUAGCAAGCACACAGCUGCAGGGAGGAACUAGCCACAUUGACUUCAGCCAGAGGAGAGUCAUGUAGGGGAAGAGGAGUGAAGGCCCUGGGCUUGGUGAAGACUGAAAGUGAACUUUUGGGAAACGUCUCAAUGUAGCCAUCAUUGACUCGUGAUUCCAGUGUUACUUACAUGCAGUCUCAAUUUAUGAUUUAGUUCAUCCUUAACUGAGGUUCUGUUUCUUUUUUAGGAGAA
rnacentral:lncRNA from 1 species